AGUGAACGCUGGCGGUAGGCCUAACACAUGCAAGUCGAACGGCAGCACAGUAAGAGCUUGCUCUUACGGGUGGCGAGUGGCGGACGGGUGAGGAAUACAUCGGAAUCUACUUUUUCGUGGGGGAUAACGUAGGGAAACUUACGCUAAUACCGCAUACGACCUACGGGUGAAAGCAGGGGAUCUUCGGACCUUGCGCGAUUGAAUGAGCCGAUGUCGGAUUAGCUAGUUGGCGGGGUAAAGGCCCACCAAGGCGACGAUCCGUAGCUGGUCUGAGAGGAUGAUCAGCCACACUGGAACUGAGACACGGUCCAGACUCCUACGGGAGGCAGCAGUGGGGAAUAUUGGACAAUGGGCGCAAGCCCGAUCCAGCCAUACCGCGUGGGUGAAGAAGGCCUUCGGGUUGUAAAGCCCUUUUGUUGGGAAAGAAAAGCAGCAGGUUAAUACCCCGCUGUUCUGACGGUACCCAAAGAAUAAGCACCAGCUAACUUCGUG
rnacentral:rRNA from 1 species